rnacentral:rRNA from 1 species
UGUAUUUAUUAGAUAAAAAACCAAUGCCCUCCGGGGCUGCUUGGUGAUUCAUAGUAACUAAACGAAUCGCAUGGCCUUGCGCCGGCGAUGGUUCAUUCAAAUUUCUGCCCUAUCAACUUUCGACGGUUGUGUAGUGGACAACCGUGGUUUCUACGGGUAACGGAGAAUUAGGGUUCGAUUCCGGAGAGGGAGCCUGAGAAACGGCUACCACAUCCAAGGAAGGCAGCAGGCGCGCAAAUUACCCAAUGCCGACUCGGCGAGGUAGUGAGUAACCCCCAACCGAUUCACCCCCAGUGGGCAGGACGCUAACGAUUUCGCAGGUGACAAUAAAUACUGAUCCAGGGCUCUUUUGGGUCUUGUAAUUGGAAUGAGUACAAUCUAAAUCCCUUAACGAGGAACAAUUGGAGGGCAAGUCUGGUGCCAGCAGCCGCGGUAAUUCCAGCUCCAAUAGCGAUAUUAAAGUUGUUGCAGUUAAAAAGCUCGUAGUUGAAACUUGGGCCUGGCUGGCCGGUCCGCCUCACCGCGUGCACUGGUCCGGCCGGGCCUUUCCUCCCGGGGAGCCGCAUGCCCUUCGCUGGGCGUGUCGGGGAACCGGGACUUUUACUUUGAAAAAAUUAGAGUGUUCAAAGCAGGCCUUUGCUCGGAUACAUUAGCAUGGAAUAAUGGAAUAGGACGUCGCGGCCCUAUUUU